rnacentral:rRNA from 1 species
GAUGAACGCUGGCGGCGUGCCUAAUACAUGCAAGUCGAGCGAACAGACGAGGCGCUUGCUCCUCAGACGUUAGCGGCGGACGUGUGAGUAACACGUUGAUAACCUACCUAUAAGACUGGGAUAACUGCGGGAAACCGGGGCUAAUACCGGAUAAUAUCUUGAACCGCAUUGUUCCAUAGUGAAAGACGGUUUUGCUGUCACUUAUAGAUGGAUCCGCGCCGCAUUAGCUAGUUGGUAAGGUAACGGCUUACCAAGGCAACGAAGCGUAGCCGACCUGAGAGGGGGACCGGCAACACGGGAAUGGGACACGGCCCCAGACCCCUACGGGAGGAACAAGAAGGGAUCCUCCCGCAAUGAGCGAAAGCCUGACGGAGCAACGCCGCUGGAGUGAUGAGGUUUUUCGGAUCGUAAAACUCUGUGAUUAGGGAGGAACAAAUGUGUAAGUAACUAUGCACGCCUUGACGGUACCUAAUCAGAAAGCCACGGCUAACUACGUG